CCUACGGGAGGCAGCAGUAGGGAAUAUUGCUCAAUGGGGGAAACCCUGAAGCAGCAACGCCGCGUGGGGGAUGAAGGUUUUCGGAUUGUAAACUCCUUUUGUUAGAGAAGAUAAUGACGGUAUCUAACGAAUAAGCACCGGCGAACUCCGUGCCAGCAGCCGCGGUAAUACGGAGGGUGCAAGCGUUACUCGGAAUCACUGGGCGUAAAGGGGGCGUAGGCGGGAUAGCAGGUCAGAUGUGAAAUCCUUGGGCAUAACCAUAGAACUGCCUUUGAAACUGGUAGUCUCGAGUAGGGGAGAGGUAUGUGGAAUGCGCGGGGUAGCGGUAAAAUCAAUAGAGAUCACGAGGAAUUCGCAUUGCGAAGGCAGCAUGCCGGAUCCACACUGACGCUGAUGCGCGAAAGCGUGGGUAGCGAACAGGAUUAGAUACCCGAGUAGUC
rnacentral:rRNA from 1 species